rnacentral:rRNA from 1 species
CAGACGAUGCGUCAUGCAUAUCAAUAAGCGGAGGAAAAGAAACUAACAAGGAUUCCCCUAGUAACGGCGAGUGAAGCGGGAAGAGCUCAAAUUUGAAAUCUUAAAGGGUUUCCCUUUACGAAUUGUAGUUUAAAGAAGUGUUUUCUGUUGAGGUUUUGGUAAAAGUUCUUUGGAAUAGGACAUCAUAGAGGGUGAGAAUCCCGUAUUUGACCUUUACUUUCAACUUUGUGAUACACUUUCAAAGAGUCGGAUUGUUUGGGAAUGCAGUCCAAAAUGGGUGGUAAAUUUCAGUCUAAAGCUAAAUAUUGGCGAGAGACCGAUAGCGAACAAGUACCGUGAGGGAAAGAUGAAAAGAACUUUGAAAAGAGAGUUAAACAGUACGUGAAAUUGUCAAAAGGGAAGCGUUUGACACCAGUGUUGUUUUUCUGAAAAUCAAUUAAAGAACUGUUUAUGCUAAGUUGUUUAGACUUUAUCAGCUAUCUGUUUAGUUUUGAGCUUUUCUUUAAUGCACUUUUCAGUUAACAAGUCAACAUCAAUUUCUUUUGCUGUAAAAAAGCUUGAGGAAGGUGGCUUGAGAUUCGUCUUAAGUGUUUAUAGCCUCUUGCCUAUGCAGUCGGAGAGAUUGAGGUCUGCAGCGUAGAUCCUUCGGGGCUGAAUGCAUUUGUGCUAAGUUAUAGCAUUUUAUAGACAACUUGUUGACUAUGAUUUGUCUUGUAGCUUACUCGCUUAUGUUAUUUUACCUACGCUUAGGAUGUUGAAUCUGUGCGAGACUAC